ACUCAAAUGAAUUGACGGGGGUCUAUACAAGUGGUGGAGCAUGCGGUUUAAUUCGAUAAUACGCGACAAACCUUACCAGCUCUUGAAAUAGUCCAUUUAAAAAGUGAGUCUUUCUUACAAGAUGGAUUACAGGUGUUGCAUGGCUGUCGUCAGCUCGUGUUGUAAGAUGUUUGGUUAAGUCCCUUAACGAGCGCAACCUCUACUUGCAUUUAAAUAGACCUUUGUCUAUAACUGCUAGAACUGCCCACAAUAAAUGGGAGGAAGGUGGAGAUGACGCCAAGUCCUUAUGGCCCCUAUGAGCUGGGCUACACGCGUGCUACAAUGGGAAAAACAAGAUGUACUUAAACUUUUAAGGCAAUCAAGAAAUUUUGCCCCGGUUCGGAUUGAGUCCUGCAACUUGGACUCAUGAAGGUGGAAUCACCAGUAAUCGUGGAUCAGGAUGCCACGGUGAACUUGUACCUAGACCUUGUACACACCGCCCGU
rnacentral:rRNA from 1 species